rnacentral:rRNA from 1 species
UGAACGCUGGCGGCAGGCCUAACACAUGCAAGUCGAACGGUAACAGGAAGCAGCUUGCUGCUUUGCUGACGAGUGGCGGACGGGUGAGUAAUGUCUGGGAAACUGCCUGAUGGAGGGGGAUAACUACUGGAAACGGUGGCUAAUACCGCAUAACGUCGCAAGACCAAAGAGGGGGACCUUCGGGCCUCUUGCCAUCAGAUGUGCCCAGAUGGGAUUAGCUUGUUGGUGAGGUAACGGCUCACCAAGGCGACGAUCCCUAGCUGGUCUGAGAGGAUGACCAGCCACACUGGAACUGAGACACGGUCCAGACUCCUACGGGAGGCAGCAGUGGGGAAUAUUGCACAAUGGGCGCAAGCCUGAUGCAGCCAUGCCGCGUGUAUGAAGAAGGCCUUCGGGUUGUAAAGUACUUUCAGCGGGGAGGAAGGUGUUGUGGUUAAUAACCACAGCAAUUGACGUUACCCGCAGAAGAAGCACCGGCUAACUCCGUGCCAGCAGCCGCGGUAAUACGGAGGGUGCAAGCGUUAAUCGGAAUUACUGGGCGUAAAGCGCACGCAGGCGGUCUGUCAAGUCGGAUGUGAAAUCCCCGGGCUCAACCUGGGAACUGCAUUCGAAACUGGCAGGCUUGAGUCUUGUAGAGGGGGGUAGAAUUCCAGGUGUAGCGGUGAAAUGCGUAGAGAUCUGGAGGAAUACCGGUGGCGAAGGCGGCCCCCUGGACAAAGACUGACGCUCAGGUGCGAAAGCGUGGGGAGCAAACAGGAUUAGAUACCCUGGUAGUCCACGCCGUAAACGAUGUCUACUUGGAGGUUGUGCCCUUGAGGCGUGGCUUCCGGAGCUAACGCGUUAAGUAGACCGCCUGGGGAGUACGGCCGCAAGGUUAAAACUCAAAUGAAUUGACGGGGGCCCGCACAAGCGGUGGAGCAUGUGGUUUAAUUCGAUGCAACGCGAAGAACCUUACCUGGUCUUGACAUCCACAGAACUUUCCAGAGAUGGAUUGGUGCCUUCGGGAACUGUGAGACAGGUGCUGCAUGGCUGUCGUCAGCUCGUGUUGUGAAAUGUUGGGUUAAGUCCCGCAACGAGCGCAAC